rnacentral:tRNA from 1 species
GAGAUGGCUCAGUGGUUAAGAGCACUGACUGAUCUUGCAGAGGUUCUGAGUUCAAGUCCCAGCAAAUCACA